rnacentral:tRNA from 1 species
AUUUAUGUUAGUAUAAUUCAAUAAAAAAGCCGGAAUAGCUCAGUUGGUAG